rnacentral:rRNA from 1 species
AACGAACGCUGGCGGCAGGCUUAACACAUGCAAGUCGAGCGAAGACUUCGGUCUUAGCGGCGGACGGGUGAGUAACGCGUGGGAACAUACCCUUUGCUACGGAACAGUCCCGGGAAACUGGGUUUAAUACCGUAUACGCCCUUCGGGGGAAAGAUUUAUCGGCAAAGGAUUGGCCCGCGUUGGAUUAGGUAGUUGGUGGGGUAAAGGCCUACCAAGCCGACGAUCCAUAGCUGGUUUGAGAGGAUGAUCAGCCACACUGGGACUGAGACACGGCCCAGACUCCUACGGGAGGCAGCAGUGGGGAAUAUUGGACAAUGGGCGCAACCCUGAUCCAGCCAUGCCGCGUGAGUGAUGAAGGCCCUAGGGUUGUAAAGCUCUUUCGCACGCGACGAUAAUGACGGUAGCGUGAGAAGAAGCCCCGGCUAACUUCGUGCCAGCCGCCGCCGUAACAC